CAACGAUUACACAGAACAGUUCCCCAACGCGUGAGAGAACGACGACCCAAACUUAGAACUCGAUCGCGCGUGACACGUCUGCUUCCCUUUCUCAGUCUGGUUGUGCGAUUUUCAGAGGAAGGCAGCGUACUUGUGCAGAGAGCGAGGCGAGGAGGCGAAAUCUUAGAGUCGAUAUCGGACGACUCUCCUUUCAAUUCCGUUGGGAAUUAGUACUAUGGACAUCUUUCAAACCUGUUCCUCUGAAGAGAUUUUGAAUUUCAAAUCUUGAAUCGGACCCCAUCCUCACCCGUUUUCCCACCUAAAUCAGCCCUAAUUUCCAUCUACUUAAACCUGCUCUUAUCUUCAUUAUUGGGGGGUGGGGGGGGGGGCUGGAAAGAGGAAGCAAGAAAAAAAAACAUACUAAUCAUAUAUUGUGUUCAUCAAUCGAUCGAAAUACGUAGAAAUAAGCUUCAAUCGAUAAUACUUGGAAGGUUAGCUUGGGAUUUUUCUCUCAGGGCAUUCAUUGAAGAUUUGUGGUGAAGUCGUUGCCAACUCUUGGUUCCAGUUUGCUGCCCGGAAAAAGAUGCUGGAAAUUUGAUCUGGGGCAGCAUACAUUCGGUAUACAGCCCAAGAUACAGGAAAUGGGGCUAAUAUAUGAAUUUGAUACACUGAUAUACAACGUUUGUAUACAAAAACAGAAAUUGAUUUUGAAGUCCAAAAUUAGCAGCUUUGGCCCAAUUUUUCGCGCAGCAAUAGGCCCAGAAGGCCCAAACCUUCCUCUCUAACUCUUUUUUUAUUUCAAUUUAUUAAUUUGUCUAACUCUCACUUUAUUUACUAAUUACUUUUAAGGAUAACUUAAUUAAAUUCCCCAAAAGAUGAAUUAUAUUCUUUAUGUUA